CGCAGGACUUGGACUUCAAGGAGCUCCCCUCCUCUGCCAUGGUAAAAGAGCCGGGAGGGGGAACCAAUCUGUAGGUGUGCAGAGCCAGCACUACCUUCGUCUAGGGCGCCGACUCUAUGAGGGAGGCAGCUGACUGCUAGUUGAGAGGGAGUGAGGGAGGUAGAGAUAUUAAAGGAAGGAAGGGGGGGCAUGGGGCAGAUAGACAUGGAUGGAAUGGAGAAAUGGGGGAGAGACAUGGAUGGAAGGGAGACAUUAGGGAGAGACAUGGAUGGAAGGGAGACAUGGGGGAGAGACAUGGAUGGAAGGGAGACAUGGGGGAGAGACAUGGAUGGAAGGGAGACAUGGGGGAGAGACAUGGAUGGAAGGGAGUGUGGCAAAAUUAGCCAUUUAAGGCUAUAUGCUGUAUAGGGUUGCCCAGAGGUUAAUUUGUGUAUGUAUUUAACCCCUUAAGGAACAAAUUUCUGGAAUAAAAGAGAAUCAUAACAUGUCACACGUCAUGUGUCCUUAAGGUGUUAAACCGCAGGUUUUACAUCUGUUCGUAUGUUAGAUGGCAUUCGUAUGCUGGCGGCACAAAAAGACACCAGCAUUAAUAUAAUAGUUUCACGAACUGGGUAUUUCAAUCCUGUUUGUGAAACGAACAAAGUACCGAAUGGGAGACCACACAGAGGGGGUCGUGUGUCUCCCAUUAAGAAUAGCAACAUUGUAUCAAGCUGCUUAAUGUGUUUUCCGGGUGGCCGCCGUUCGUGUACCGAACAUGUGGCGGCGGCCAAUUUUGAUCCCUCAAGCCCAGCGGCGUUUGGUCGUCAAGUGCCUGGAACUAAAAUCGGCUACUUGACGGCACGAACACCACUGGACUUUCAUACCGCUCGGGACAAUAAUUAUUUCCGUAUUGAUAUCUCCACAGUCCAUUUGUGUAUCGCUAUGUGUGUUCAUAUGAAAAUGUAUUUCGUCCGGCGUUCGGCUAAUUGUGCAGGGAUCUGAGCAGUAUUUCAAUAGAUGGUACGCUCAGAUCCCAGCUAUAUGCAAAGGUGUCAAUCAGUUAAAAGUACCGAACGGUGUGAAAGGUAUGGAUUUUUAUGUGAAAAUUUAUGAUCUGCUGUACUGAGAGAUAAUCCCAUUAACAGUACAUCUCUGGGUAAUUAUCUCUCUAGUACAGCAGUGUAUGAUGGGAAAUCAGCCUGUAAGCUAAAUCCCCCAUGUAGUCCACUACUGGACAACCCCUGUAAUGUGACUUUGGAAACCUUUUACAUGUGUAACUGCAUAAAUACUGUGACCUGUGAUUAAAAGUUCAGUUGACUCCCAGCCUAUGUGUCGUCUAGUUCUUGGGAGAAGAAAGGGAUUAUUAUAAUGCUACCUGGAUUAUUGUAUGCUGUUCCUGUCUACCAGCGGAGAUACUGUGGAUUACACUACCUCUCCGCUACAAUUGGUGGCAAGCGACGGGAUUUAAACCGUACAGCAAACCAGUGUUCAGCAGUGACCACACGAACAAAGAGGAGAAGCAGCAGUUAAGCAAGACAAACCAUUCGGAUAAAACCAGCGUUCAGUAAUACGUCAAAAUAUACGAACGACUGGUGAAUGGGACAAACUAUGCAGAAACGGACUACACUGAAGGAGUUAUUGGAAGCAAGAGGAGAAAGCACAAGAAAUAAAACAAAAGUGACCCUUGUGGCAGAACUCAUGGAGGGGGACAGAACAACCACUGCAGCGAACCCACAGGAGGCAGAACCCAGUGAAUUUACCAAGGAGCUCAAGAGCAGGAUAGCUUUUUAUGCAGAGCCCCCGCCCAGAGAGACAAUGGACAGAUUAAUGGCGGAUGUUCAGGAGUACCUGGUGGUCAAGCACCAAGCCACCCAGCGACCCGGGGAAAGAGCCCCAGCCCCCGCCAAUAACGCUACCCCCCCCAGAUACAACACACGUCCGCAAAUUCGUUGCUAAACCUGCAACCAGCAAGUGCAUAUUCAGCGAGACUGUCCCUGCAACCGACCCCGGCAAAACUGGAACAAUCCAGCUUCCAGCAACCGAGCAGCGGUACACUGUGUCCAAUCAGAACCGUAUGGAUCUCCCACAGUAGCAUCCCCCAUCAACGAACCUUUGGGGACUUUACACGAAGUCAACCCUGUCCAAGCUGCCUCAGAUAAUUGGCAAGGACAUCAGCAGGAGGUACACAUGGAGGGAAAGAAGGUACAAGGAUUGCAAGACUCCGGGGCCACCUUAACUUUGGUCCAUAACCACCUAGUACCAAAGAAUAUGUUAACUGGGGACUGUGUGGCAGUGCGAGUAGCAGGGGGAGCGAUUUACAAGGUUCCCACUGCCAGGGUACACUUGAAUUGGGGAGCGGGGCAAGGAAAUGUAGAUGUGGGCAUCAUGCAAGAUUUACCCGCUGAUGUUAUCUUGGGCAACAAUUUAGGGGAGCUAACUUCAGCGUUUGUGCACCAACCCACCAUGCAAGAAGCCUACCCCGUUGUUACCUGCCAGCAGGCCCGCACCACGGUUCCGUCUUACCCCACUGAGGCUCAGGUAAGCCAGGUUCCCCUGUUCUUCCCUGGGAUGCCCCCUGGCAUUUGGUAAUGAAGUGGCCUUAGAUCCCUCCCUGCAAGUAUAUAAAGACCGUAUAAACAAGGAUCAGGCAGGCUUAGAGGGGGAAAGAUACACCUGGGAUAAGGGGCUAUUGUACCGGCAGGCAGAAAAGGUAGUCGCCGGGUCUAUUCCCCUACCCAUUAAACAGUUCAUUGUUCCCCAUAAGUACCAGUUAGAGUUACUACAUAUCGCCCAUGAUAUCCCCCUAUCUGGGCACUUAAAAGUCAGCCGAACUAAGCAUCGGCUGACUCAGAACUUUUUCUGGCCAGGAUAUCCGACAAUACUGUCAGACCUGUGAUACCUGCCAGAGGGUAGGGGAAUGGGGAGACCGCUACAAAGCCAAGCUCCGUUCUCUACCUAUAAUUGAGGAACCAUUUAGCAGAAUAGCGGUAGACAUAAUAGGGCCCUUAGCGAAGCCUAGUCCCUCCGGCAAUAAGUAUGUAUUGACCGUAGUGGACUACGCCACCUGAUACCCAGAGGCGGUGGCUCUGACCAAUGUCCAUGCCGAGACAAUAGUGGAUGCCCUUAUGAAGAUAUUCUCAGAUAGAGGCACCCAAUUCACGGCGCAGGUUACCCAACAACUCUGGAAAGUAUGUGGGGUAAAGCCUAUCUUAAGGACCAAACUUCUGGAAUAAAAGGGAAUCAUGACAUGUCACACAUGUCAUGUGUCCUUAAGGGGUUAAACUCAGCAUACCACCCUCAGUCCAACGGGCUCUGUGAACGGUUUACUGGAACACUUAAACAGAUGAUCCGGACGUUCAUAGACACGUAGACACCCAGAAGGAUUGGGAGAGGUUUUUACCCCACUUACUGUUAGCGUAUAGGGAAGUCCCCCAGGAGUCCAUCGGUUCUCUCCCUUUGAAUUGUUAUUCGGGAGGAGAGUAAGGGGUCCCCUAGAUCUAAUCAGAGAACACUGGGAGGGGGAGUAGCAGCUAAUGAUACCCCCAUUGUCCCAUAUGUGCUAGAGUUUAGGGAACGCUUAGAGGUUCUGACCCAGACCGUGCGCGACAACCUCCAGGCGGCCCAACAACGGCAGCGCAGAUGGUACGAUAAGGGGACCAGGGACCGCAGCUUUCAGGUUGGGCAGAAGGUAUUGAUCCUCCGGCCCGCCCCCAAAAUGACAAGCUGCAGGCUUCCUGGCAGGGUCCAUACAAGGUGGUAGAGCAAAUAUGUGAUACCACCUAUGUGAUCGGCCCGUGCGCUGGCACAGGGGGCGAACGCAUGCUCCAUGUGAAUAUGCUGAAGCCCUACUACGCGCGCACCGAAGAGGUGACCGCGAUUUGCGCUUAGAUUCUGGAUCCACCCCUGCCUGUCACUUCAGGUAGACACCGGGCUCUCGAAAUAUCGAAAGAGUGAGUGACAGGCGUGGUGAGAAAGUGACACAGCAUGCAUCCUGUUUGGUCUUUCUUUCAAAGAGAUACCAAUCAGGACAGGCUCUGUGUCACUCUUUCACCAUGUCUGUAAAGCCCACCUACCGAGAGCGUGUGUGUGUGUCUCUCUCGCUAUAUCUGGGCACACUCUAAUACUUUGCAAUGACCAUGAUAUAAGUAUGUUCUGAUUGAGUAGUGGUUUGACUGUGUGGCAGACCACAAGGGUACAUAAAUAGUGGUCUUUUCUGCCAAAAAAAGGCACAAACCUCAUAGCACUCUCCACUGUACAAAAGGGGUAACACCUUCCCACCUCCAUAUAAAUGACUACUUUACUUGCCAUUUGGCUAGCAUAAUAUAUAAAUAGGAAGCAGAGGAGAUUUCAGCGGAUCUGUCAGAUUAAGCUUGGCUCUAUAGGGACAGGUUAGAAUCUAUCCGCUGGGUGAGAUAAUCUGUAUUUCAGUGUAACGAUGUAAGUUACAUAGCAUUCCAUCCUACACAGACAUGGUCGUGUCCUUAGAAUACCUUUGCUGCAGUUCUGUGUGCUUUCUCAGAGAAGCGACACACAGCAUCUCCCUAGCAUUCCGUUCCAGGCAGCCAGAGAUAGCUUUUCUACAAUGAUAACAAAUUGCAGGUGGACAUUCCAGACCGGUUGGCAAACUGCACGAUGUAAUGAGCCAUCUACAACAUCAAUUGUUUCCUUGGGUCACAAAAACAACAUUUUUAUUUCAUACAGACACAAAAAGCUAAUGCACACAUAAGGAUCUCAUUAAUUCCUGCAUUUUUAAUGGGCUGUUAAGGGGACAGGCAUGAGACAAUCUUACUUUGUAAUUCUUUAAAUUGGUCCUAAUGUCUCAAAAGUGCAAAUGUUCAGCUGCUGACUGCAAAAUGACCCUCGGCCCAUGCAUUGUUGCACAGCUUGCAUGACAUUUGAAGGUGGGUCACUCUGUCCCUUGCAUACAGAGCAGGGCCCACCAUUGCGGCAAGGUAGGAGAUUACGUAAGGCAGUGCUCCUCAACCCUCUCCUCAAGGCACAUCUAACAGUCCAGGAUUUAGGGAUAACCAAGUGUUUCUAUGGUGUUAAAAAAAAAAAACACCUCAAACACACCCGGGUAAGUCCUAAAUCCUGGACUGUUAGGUGUGCCUUGAGGAGAUGGUUGAGGAGCACUGACGAAAGGUACUGAUCAGCUUAUACUGGCUGUAGAUACUGCAUGCCUUCAAUGUUCACAGCACAAUGAUUGGACACAUUGUACAUAUUGGGGACCCGGAAUGGAAUCAUCUGCUCAGAAGCCCCACAUUACUAGAUAUGUUAUUCGUUCUGCAACACGUAUUAGGUCAUACACCGUAAUCCGACCUAAUACAGUAAAUAGAGAACUAAGUCUAAGAUGAGUGAGAGAACAGAGGACAUGGGCUCUGAGAAUGAGGGCUGGCGCCUCCAUCUAUUGGAUCCAGCAAUCCCAUCUCUCAAUAAUCAGCUUUUACAAUCAAAAAGAAAUUUCCUACAAGGUCUGUGGAUUCUUGAGGAAAUUGCAGGAGCACAGAACUAAAAUUUAGGCCUAAAUUAAUAUUUCUUCUCUUUGUCUAGAUACAGAAAGUCCUCAAUGUGAAGAUGCCAUUGGACCGACUGAAAGGAAUUAUCUAGAUAAAGUGCACAGAAUGUUCAAGGAUGGUGCAUGAAUAAUAUUCUUAUAUAUUAUGUCCUAUUAUUUUAUUACUUGUGCCCCUUUACAAGAUGUGUACAAAGGAAACUUCAAGGAUAUUUUUUGCUACCGUUUCCGGAGAACAUACUAAGUGAAGCCUCCACCAGCCAUUCCCAUUCAUUCAUGUAGUAAACCAAGAGGAAUUAGCCUGUUGGGCUAUCAUCUGCUCCCCAUCGCUGUGUACCUGGGUCACAAGCCUUCGGGUUGAUCCUUCAACAUGGCCCACACCCCAGGGACAUCAAUGCUACAUGCUUUCUGAGGGACUUUCCUUGGCACUGCCAGAUCCGGGGUCAGCGUGCGGUGGCUUUCAUAAAGGCAUGGGACUGGCCAAAUGAUUCAGCCUUGACUUCCUCCUGUUUAACAAACAACCUUGGGACUUGGACUUCCCUUAGGGGACCCAUACCAGCAGCUGGAGUGCUGUAUAUGACUGUACGUGCCAUACCAUCUUGCAAUUUUCGAUUGUCAUAUAUAAAUGUACAUGUUAUACCACAACACUACAAAUAAUUUUUGUCUAAAUAUGUCACUGCCAUACCAGUGCUUGUUACAUUUGUGC
rnacentral:lncRNA from 1 species